AUGUGUUUGCCGAAAGAUCAGGGAUGUAUGCGUUUCAGAGAUAUAUAUUGUUUCAAUAUCACUUUGCUAGCUAAACAAGUGUGGCAUCUUCUUGACAACCCUAAUUUUUUAUGUGCAUCUAUCUUGAGAGCUAAAUAUUUCCCUCAUGGAGACCUGAUGAAUGCAAGCUUAAAAAGGGGUUCCUCUUUUAUUUGGCAAAGCAUUAUGGCAGAAAUAAUUCACUAG
rnacentral:rRNA from 1 species